AACGAACGCUGGCGGCAGGCCUAACACAUGCAAGUCGAACGCUCGUAGCAAUACGAGAGUGGCAGACGGGUGAGUAACACGUGGGAACCUUCCCUAUGGUUCGGAAUAGCCCAGGGAAACUUGGGGUAAUACCGGAUAAGCCCUUCGGGGAAAGAUUUAUCGCCAUUGGAUGGGCCCGCGUCGGAUUAGCUAGUUGGUGGGGUAACGGCCUACCAAGGCGACGAUCCGUAGCUGGUCUGAGAGGANGAUCAGCCACACUGGGACUGAGACACGGCCCAGACUCCUACGGGAGGCAGCAGUGGGGAAUAUUGGACAAUGGGCGCAAGCCUGAUCCAGCCAUGCCGCGUGAGUGACGAAGGUCUUCGGAUUGUAAAACUCUUUUGGCGGGACGAUAAUGACGGUACCCGCAGAAUAAGCCCCGGCUAACUUCGUGCCAGCAGCCGCAGUAAC
rnacentral:rRNA from 1 species